AUCCAACUGACGAGUUCAAAAUAGGACGAAACGCGUGUCCUGGAU
rnacentral:hammerhead_ribozyme from 1 species